AAUUAUGUCAUAAACUAAUCUUCUACGAAGGACCAAGAAAGAGACCCAUAAAUUGUAACAAAAAUAGUGACGCACCGAUAGUGGCGGCGAUAACAAAGUAGAGAUAAUAAGAAAGGGACCCAAAAGAUAAUGAGUCAAAAUCAGGUAGAAUAUAUUGUACAUUCAUUUAUAUAUACGGCUUAGCAUUAGUAAUAAAGUUAGUUCUAGACCACAGUUCUACAGUGUAUGUUUUCUACAUCCGAAAAAUCCGUAAGUCACCGGCGUCACACGGAGAUUGGCUGGAUUUAUUUGAGCGUGUACUUUUUGUUUAUGAUUAGUGGAAUGAAAAAAUGAAACUGAUGUUGUGGUGUAAGAAGUGUCCCUUCAUUAUACGGAUUCUGGGAGUGGGCAAACGGCGGAUCAUAGGCUGCUGUGUCGUGUUCGGAACAUUUUUGUUCCUUUUCAGAAGAAAGUUUGUGGUAAAACCACGUAAGACUGAAUAUCGUUCGGCAGCUAUUAUUGGCCUAUCUUACCAAUUAGAUACAAUAAUAACUGAUACAGGUUCACACAUAACCUGAUGUGUUAGAGAAAACGACUAACUUCGAUUCACCCACUCAAGAAAAAACAAGUCGUAUGUAAGUCCUAUAGGAGACAUCAAGCUCUCUUUCCUGGUGGCUGAAAUUACACCGUGCUCAGCGAGUAUAGCGGGGUGCAUGAUCGGCGCAUUUGAUUUUAACGUCAAUGCAUCAGUGACUAAGUAAAAGCAAAGCGCCAAACAACAAUAAAUACUAACACAUUAAAUUUUUGAUUGAAUGAAAACUAAUUUGAAAUCGAACAAA